rnacentral:rRNA from 1 species
CUGCUGCCUUCCGUAGGAGUUUGGGCCGUGUCUCAGUCCCAAUGUGGCCGGUCACCCUCUCAGGUCGGCUACUGAUCGUCGCCUUGGUGAGCCGUUACCUCUCCAACUAGCUAAUCAGACGCGGGUCCAUCUCAUACCACCGGAGUUUUUCACACCAAACCAUGCGGUUUUGUGCGCUUAUGCGGUUUUAGCAGUCAUUUCUAACUGUUAUCCCCCUGUAUGAGGCAGGUUACCCACGCGUUACUCACCCGUCCGCCA